rnacentral:rRNA from 1 species
GACUCGUCACACUAUCAUUAACUGAAUCCAUAGGUUAAUGAGGCGAACCGGGGGAACUGAAACAUCUAAGUACCCCGAGGAAAAGAAAUCAACCGAGAUUCCCCCAGUAGCGGCGAGCGAACGGGGAGGAGCCCAGAGCCUGAAUCAGCAUGUGUGUUAGUGGAAGCGUCUGGAAAGGCGCGCGAUACAGGGUGACAGCCCCGUACACAAAAGCGCAUGUGCUGUGAGCUCGAUGAGUAGGGCGGGACACGUGGUAUCCUGUCUGAAUAUGGGGGGACCAUCCUCCAAGGCUAAAUACUCCUGACUGACCGAUAGUGAACCAGUACCGUGAGGGAAAGGCGAAAAGAACCCCGGCGAG